UACGAUGUAUAACAUGAAGAUUAUUUUUGUUUUACAAGAACAUAUGAAGAUUGAUAUUGUAAUGUAACAUAUUUUGGUCUCAAUAUUGUGAUGUAACCACUUAAUUUAUUUUAUGUCAUCAAUAUGAUUUUGGUUAAACUUUGGAAGCUGUAAAGUUUAGGUGGUUAUCGUUGUCUAAAUAUCAUCAUAAAUACUAGAUGAUCUUUUGAUUUUUAUGUGUAAUAACUCACGUAUGCAUCAAUCAUUUAAAAUUUACAUUUGUCUGGGAUUUCCAAAAAAUGUUUUGGAAGUGUAAGCUCGAUUAUACUUUUGAAAAUAUAAAUAUUGUUUUUACUAUUUACUGGCAAAUUAUUAGUAAUUUAUUUUAAAUAUUGUUAUUAAGUUACAUGAAUGAGUUGUAUGAAUUAAUUUCAUUGACUUUUCACUAAAUUUUUCGUUUAUAUAAAAUUUCAAAAUCACAUAUUAACACCCUUAAUAUCUUUGUUGCAAACUUGGAGAAAAUGAAAAAUCACAUUUAUGUCACAUGCAAAAUGAAAUAUCUCAUUGAGAGAAUAAUUUAUCUCCAAAAAGUAAAGAAUGGCAAAAGUAAAAUAAAUUUGAGUUAACCAAAACGUUGGGAUGUGUGCCCUAGCUCCUCUUAAUAUAUUAAAGAAUAUUGAAAAUUGUACAUUUUGUUUUUUUUUCAAAAUUGUAGAUUAUGUUUUUUUAAAAUAUGUUUAUUAUUUUGAAAAUUUUUAAGAUGUGUUCCGUCUUAGUAUGACUUUUAAAAAUUAAGUAAAUUAAUUAACAUAUUUUGAUUAAGAUAAUUAAUUUACCUAUGUUUCGAGAGGGAGAUCCUUAAGUUUUUUAUUUUUUAUUUUAUAAAAGAUCCCUAAGUUAUAUAUAUAUACAUAUAUAUAUAUAUAUAUAUAUAUAGAUAGAUACACCAUGUUUGAGGUUAAGUUGUUAAAACCUAAAAGAACAUAGAAGUUGAACAAAGUACACAUAUUACAUUACAGCAGACCCAACCCUAGGAAACGAAGGACAAGAAGUUAAGCCCUCAACUCACCUUUCUCGAUUUGAUCAUUGUUGAUAUAAUUACUAUGGAAGAUAAAAUAAUAUAAGUUCACUUUUUAUUUUCUGUUAUAACUAAUGUUUUUUAUGGUGGAUAAUAUGAAAAUAAGUAAAUGAUUUAGAGAAUUUAAAUUAAUUUACAUAUAUAAUAUGGGAAUUGUUGUUACAUAUCUAAUCAAAUUAUACUAUUAUGUUACUUUGUUAAUUUAAGUUUUAAAAUAAAAUAUAAUUAAAUACAUGUAUAAAUUUAUUUUAUCCUAAAUAUACACCUUCUCAUAUAUUAAUCAUCAUAGAAUGUAAUGUUAUUGAAAUAUUAAAUAGAAUAUUAUUAUACUAUGUCAUAAGCAAUAAAUGCAGGUUUAGAGGUAAGGUAUCCAAUGUCUUCUAAAAGGUCAACAUUAUCAAAUUUUGUCCUUUGACAACAAAUGAUAGAAGAAUAUGCCAAACAACUAAUAUAUUUCAAAUGUAAUAAAGUAGAAGGCCGUCUAAAGCAAAGUAUAAGUAUAAUGAUUAUUCAAAAGGGUACUAUUGGUAUUCUAUUAACAAGAAAAUAUUGAGAUCUAGCAAAGUUGAGGAUGAGUUGAUGAUUUCUCUUAACAAUACUAUUUUAUUAGGGGGAUCCAAUA
rnacentral:lncRNA from 1 species